rnacentral:rRNA from 1 species
AGAGUUUGAUCCUGGCUCAGAACGAACGCUGGCGGCGCGCCUAACACAUGCNGUCGGACGCACUCAGCAAUGGGUGAGUGGCGGACGGGUGAGUAACACGUGGGAACCUGCCCUGGGGUCUGGGAUAACUGCGGGAAACUGCAGGUAACACCGGAUGUGCCCUUAGGGGGAAAGUUUACGCCCUGGGAUGGGCCCGCGUCGGAUUAGGUAGUUGGUGGGGUAAUGGCCUACCAAGCCUUCGAUCCGUAACCGGUCUGAGAGGAUGAUCGGUCACACUGGGACUGAGACACGGCCCAGACUCCUACGGGAGGCAGCAGUGGGGAAUCUUGGACAAUGGGGGCAACCCUGAUCCAGCGACGCCGCGUGGGUGAUGAAGGCCUUCGGGUCGUAAAGCCCUUUUGCCGGGGAAGAUGAUGACGGUACCCGGAGAAGAAGCACCGGCUAACUCUGUGCCAGCAGCCGCGGUAAGACAGAGGGUGCUAGCGUUGUUCGGAAUUACUGGGCGUAAAGGGCGCGUAGGCGGCUCGUUUAGUCGGGUGUGAAAUCCCAAGGCUCAACCUUGGAACUGCAUUCGAUACUGGCGGGCUAGAGACCGGAAGAGGUGGGUGGAAUACCCAGUGUAGAGGUGAAAUUCGUAGAUAUUGGGUGGAACACCGGUGGCGAAGGCGGCUCACUGGUCCGGUUCUGACGCUGAGGCGCGAAAGCGUGGGGAGCAAACAGGAUUAGAUACCCUAGUAGUCC